rnacentral:piRNA from 1 species
UAGAUUGAUUUUGUGCUUGCUUGUAGU